AUUGAACGCUGGCGGCAGGCCUAACACAUGCAAGUCGAGCGGAUGAAGGGAGCUUGCUCCUGGAUUCCGCGGCGGACGGGUGAGUAAUGCCUAGGAAUCUGCCUGGUAGUGGGGGAUAACGUCCGGAAACGGGCGCUAAUACCGCAUACGUCCUGAGGGGGAAAGUGGGGGAUCUUCGGACCUCACGCUAUCAGAUGAGCCUAGGUCGGAUUCGCUAGUUGGUGGGGUAAAGGCCUACCAAGGCGACGAUCCGUAACUGGUCUGUGAGGAUGAUCAGUCACACUGGAACUGAGACACGGUCCAGACUCCUACGGGAGGCAGCAGUGGGGAAUAUUGGACAAUGGGCGAAAGCCUGAUCCAGCCAUGCCGCGUGUGUGAAGAAGGUCUUCGGAUUGUAAAGCACUUUAAGUGGGGAGGAAGGGCAGUAAGUUAAUACCUUGCUGUUUUGACGUUACCAACAGAAUAAGCACCGGCUAACUUCGUG
rnacentral:rRNA from 1 species